rnacentral:rRNA from 1 species
UUCCCCUAGUAACUGCGAGUGAAGCGGGAAAAGCUCAAAUUUAAAAUCUGGCAGCCUUUGGCUGUCUGAGUUGUAAUCUAGAGAAGUAUUAUCCGCGCUGGACCGUGUACAAGUCUCCUGGAAUGGAGCGUCAUAGAGGGUGAGAAUCCCGUCUUUGACACGGACUGCCAGGGCUUUGUGAUGUGCUCUCAAAGAGUCGAGUUGUUUGGGAAUGCAGCUCAAAAUGGGUGGUAAAUUCCAUCUAAAGCUAAAUAUUGGCGAGAGACCGAUAGCGAACAAGUACCGUGAGGGAAAGAUGAAAAGAACUUUGGAAAGAGAGUUAAACAGUACGUGAAAUUGCUGAAAGGGAAACGCUUGAAGUCAGUCGCGUUGGCCAGGGAUCAACCUUGCUUUUUUGCUUGGCUUACUUUCUGGUCGAUGGGUCAGCAUCAAUUUUGACUGGUGGAAAAAGUUCAAGGGAAUGUGGCAUCUUCGGAUGUGUUAUAGCCUUUGUUCGCAUACAUCGGUUGGGAUUGAGGAACUCAGCACGCCGCAAGGCCGGGUUUUUAACCACGUACGUGCUUAGGAUGCUGGCAUAAUGGCUUUAAUCGACCCGUCUUGAAACACGGACCAAGGAGUCUAACAUGCCUGCGAGUGUUUGGGUGAAAAACCCGAGCGCGUAAUGAAAGUGAAAGUUGAGAUCCCUGUCAUGGGGAGCAUUGACGCCCGGAUCUGACCUUUUGUGACGAUUCUGCGGUAGAGCAUGUAUGUUGGGACCCGAAAGAUGGUGAACUAUGCCUGAAUAGGGUGAAGCCAGAGGAAACUCUGGUGGAGGCUCGUAGCGAUUCUGACGUGCAAAUCGAUCGUCAAAUUUGGGUAUAGGGGCGAAAGACU